UUUACUUUUUACCUUCAAUUUUUGAUUAUUCGUCUUAUUCAAAUUUUUUUUGUGAUUGAUAUUUUUGUUUUUAUUAGAUGUAUAAAUUAUGAAUAAUACUUUAUGUGUGACUAAUUUUUUUUAAUUUCUUAAAAACUUUUCAAAUAAGACGGAUGGUCGGACAUGGAAAUCGGAGAAUUCGUUUAAU
rnacentral:pre_miRNA from 1 species